rnacentral:tRNA from 1 species
UGCACGGCUGGGGCAGCGGCGACCCGGCGGCCUGGCGGGUCACCGAGGGCGGCCGGCUCAGCGCCGCCCCGGACGG